rnacentral:rRNA from 1 species
GUGGGGAAUCUUCCGCAAUGGACGAAAGUCUGACGGAGCAACGCCGCGUGAGUGAAGAAGGUUUUCGGAUCGUAAAGCUCUUUCGUUAGGGACGAACGUGCUCUUUGUGAAUAAUGGGGAGUAAUGACGGUACCUAAAUAAGAAGCCACGGCUAACUACGUGCCAGCAGCCGCGGUAAUACGUAGGUGGCAAGCGUUGUCCGGAAUUAUUGGGCGUAAAGCGCGCGCAGGCGGGAUAUCAAGUCUGUCUUAAAAGUGCGAGGCUCAACCUCGUGAGGGGACAGAAACUGGUAUUCUUGAGUGUCGGAGAGGAAAGUGGAAUUCCAAGUGUAGCGGUGAAAUGCGUAGAGAUUUGGAAGAACACCAGUGGCGAAGGCGACUUUCUGGACGAUGUCUGACGCUGAGGCGCGAAAGCUAGGGGAGCGAACGGGAUUAGAAACCCUAGUAGUCC